rnacentral:rRNA from 1 species
GAUGAACGCUGGCGGCGUGCUUAACACAUGCAAGUCGAACGGAAAGGCUCCUGCUUGCAGGGGUACUCGAGUGGCGAACGGGUGAGUAACACGUGGGUGAUCUGCCCUGCACUUCGGGAUAAGCCUGGGAAACUGGGUCUAAUACCGGAUAGGACGAUGGUUUGGAUGCCAUUGUGGAAAGUUUUUCGGUGUGGGAUGAGCUCGCGGCCUAUCAGCUUGUUGGUGGGGUAAUGGCCUACCAAGGCGUCGACGGGUAGCCGGCCUGAGAGGGUGUACGGCCACAAUGGGACUGAGAUACGGACCAGAAGCCUACGGGAGGCAGGAGUGGGGAAUAUUGCACAAUGGGCGCAAGCCUGAUGCAGCGACGCCGCGUGGGGGAUGACGGCCUUCGGGUUGUAAACUCCUUUCGCUAGGGACGAAGCGCAAGUGACGGUACCUGGAGAAGAAGCACCGGCUAACUACGUG